UGCCUGAAAUGGCUGAACACAAUUCUUGAUCAAUAUCUUAAUGAUUCUCUCUUCAGAUUCUUUUUAGUCGUUGUCAGUGAGAUACUACACAAGUAGUGAUUUUUAAAAAAACAAGCCAUUUCACCACCAUUUCAUAGUCUAUAAAAGUUAAAGUUAUCUUUAAAAACAUUAAUAGUUUUAGCUUUCUUCUUUGCUAGACAAAUGCAAUCCUCUGAUAAUUCCAACAGAUUUCAAAUUCAACUAAAUUUUUUCCUAUGAAGUAAUUAAAAUAAUAAUGAGGCCCGAAUUUAUAAACUGUGUGUUUAUUGUUAGAGCAGUCACUCCAUAGGUAGCCUGGAUGCCAGUAAAAGACGAUAUUUGAUUCAACUGGAAAGAAAUGUCUGGUAUGUAUAGACAGAAUUUUUGGGGCUGUCCCUUGUAGCUUUGCCUACCAGGCCCUUCUGCCCACACCUUUCUAGAGCUCCACUUUCAACCAACUGUGCCUUGUAUACCUGGAAUGAAACCUCCUCCAGCAGCUACAUGGACUGCUUCUGCACAAAGUGAAGGGGUGCUUUCUGCAGCAGCCUGUUGACGUGGGUGUCCAUGGAUGUUUCUAGUGCCUCUCAGCAGAGCCAUGAGGACCAUGCCUUUAUACCUUGAGGAAGCUGAUGGCCAGGUGUUAUCUGCCCAGAGGCACCUGCUACCUCAGAACCCCACCUGAUUCCCUGAGGCUGAGAGACAUCCAUACCUCAUCGCAUACCUGGAAUCAAUUCUUUGCACAAUAAUGUGCCAACACCUACUGAUUUCCACAUGUGGAAACAAAUUCCAAAAUAAUUACUUAAAGAAUUGAAAGCAGUUAUCUCUGGGCCUAGUCCUAUGUAACAGUUGAGACUAUAUUAUGAAUAAAUUGGUUUAAAUACAUACUAAUGUUUAAAAAUCUCUUAUGUAGUCUUAUUGGAUCUUCCAGACCUUUUGCCCUCUCAAAACAUUGGACAGAGCCGCUUUCAACUUUGUUUUUAUGAGAUGAGACGACAAAAUGUGGACUAUACAACUGCGGACUAUGGUCUACUUCUUAAAUGCAGAGGCUAUUUAGUUUGUGGAUUAUCCACAUGCCAUAUUUUACCCCAAGGAUUAAGAUAAAAGGAAUAUAAAUCUGAGGAUAGCAAGCUUCAUUUUUUAAUACAAGGAAAAAGAUAAGUUGAAAUUCAUGAUAAAUAUAGAUUGUGUUUUGAAACUUUGAUUAUUUUCCUGUUGUCCCUUUAACAUGUUCCUGGGGAAAUUUGUAAUAAUGAUUUAGGAGAAGAGGUGGGAAACUGAUAAAUUAGCUGAAAAAAAAUAGAAAGGCGCUUGAGAAUAGAUAGCAGAGAACACACUUCUUUCACAGAGGGUACUGACAGCGUGGUCUAUUUGGUGCCCUCCAGAUUCAAGGCUGAAACUGGAAACAAUGGUGCUUUAAUUUGCUGCACAGCUAAUGGGCCUGCUGAUUUGUUCUCAUUUUUCAGUCCUAUAGUAUGUCCUUAAAACCCUCUCAAGGGUUUAUACUUUUAGCCAGAGGUCUCUGCUUCAUUUUUCCUUUUGUUCUCUAAACACUUUGGUUGCCUCUUCCCGAUUCAUCUUCUGAGAGGCUCAGCGUAAUGUAUGGUAGGAAUUGAAUAAUUUGGAUGAAGCCUGUGACAUGUCUUGAUGAUGUUAAACCACUCAGAAUCCUAGGAAAUAGUCCCAGCUUGCAUUAGCAGAAGAUUAAUGCAGGUGAUCUUUAAAGUCUUAAUUUUAAAAAAUUUACAUUUUUGCCAGUAAUGAUUGAAAAACACUGGCAUUCUUUCUGCCCGCAUUACUGAUUACAAUUGCAAAUACUUGCAAAAGUACUAGAAUGGCAUCUCACUGUUCCAUAAAGAGCAGAGUAUUAUUUUACCCUUUUAAUGGCUAUUAAAUAUUUAAAAAACAAUUUUCUAAAAAUAUAUCCAUAACUAUAUGUAACAUGGGCAUAAAUCACAAUGGGAAAUGUAUUCUGAUACACAUGCAUAAUAAUACUUGCUGGAUAAGUUUAUAUGUCUAAUUUGCCAAGAAGAAAUUUAAAUUUUUGAGAGGCUUCUUACUUGAGACAUAAUUAUGAGAAAAGGCAAAAAUAGGGGUCUUUUGGAUGAGGUCAAGACAGUGAUUACUCACAUUGUUACUACCGUUUUGCCCCAGGAUAUUCUGGAUAUGAGCCAAACCUUAUGAUCCCCGAAUCAGGAAUGGUGGAAAACCAUGGUGAACUAGUUAUUUGGAAGGUGGAAUCAAGGAAACCCACCAGCUCGUUCCAGAACGGGAACAUAUUAAGAGGAGAGGUAAUGAGAGCAAAGAGUUUGUCCUGCUAUCUGGAGAACAGAGAGGGUACAGUGAGCCUUGGAGAGCAAGGGAGUGUGGGGAGCGGUGGGGCAGGUUGCAGACCGCAGCCAGGAAGAGGAGAAUCAAAGGAGUCAGCUGUGGACUUGUAGAACUGGGGUUGAAAUUUAAUUCAAGAAGAAACAUUUGGAACAUUUGGCAACAAGUGACAUGAUCAACAUGACAUUCGGGUAGAUGAUUGUUGCUGUGUUAUAAAAUAGCUCAGACAGGAGGAAGACAGUUGGUGCAUGCUAAGAAUGACUGCAGAAGAGUGAGAAGGAGAAGGAAUUUGACUUGAUGACAGGACUGAUAGAGAAGACAGAAGAUAAAGGUAAGUUAUAGACAGUGUAAGUCAAGGCUGGAUUGUUGCCUUGGAGAACAACUCCCAUAUUUAACAGUCCAAAAAAAACAAAAAGCAAAGUGACCAGAAGAUUAUCCAGCAAAUGUCCAAAUGCCUUGUGGAACAGGUCGGUUCUCUUCCCAGCUUAAAAAUCAUGGAAUGGUGGACAUGGAACAGUUUGUGAAACAUAGAACUUUGCUAAACCGAUCAUUUCUCUUUUGGAUGUGCUAUGACUGUAGUCCUUGCCCCACCCAUUCCCAGAAGAUCAUCCAGACACCAAUAAAUAAGGAGCGCGGUAGGAAUUAGAGGUCAAGGAAGGAGGCAUAGGUCUGGGGAUCAUCAGUGAACACAGCAGUGGGGUCUGAGUGUAUGGAUGAGCAUUCUGUGUCACAGAGUGAAGAAAGGGAGGAGCAGAGGUGUGGCAGCAAAUACUGUGAGAUGCUUCAUGAAAAGGCCAAGGAACAAAAAGAAACAGAGUGGUUGGAGUGGCAUUAAACUCAUGGAAUUGUUUGAUCUAAAUUUAAGUUGAUACUUGCUUCAUUGGGGUAAACAGUCUGAUUAGUGUUUUCAGACUAUACAUAAAUGAAGGGAUAGUUCCAUCUCUCAAGACUUAGGACCCGCAGAGAAUUCAGAAUAUAAAUGCAGCAAGCUGAGCCCCAAAACCUUCUGGGCUCAGCCACCAGAAAGAUUAUCAUGAGCCCCUUUUCUUUUACAAAUAAAAUUCACCCUUAUUUGUCUUAGGGUUGACUAUGGAAAUUCUUUAAAUGGAUAUCAAGAAGGAAAUCUUCCAGUAAAUUCUGCACUGCAAAGCAGUAGCAUUAUUUAAACAAAGAAUACAUUAAUUUUUACAUUGCAAUCAAGAUCAACCAGCACUUACCCAUCCACCAGAAUGCAUUAUAAUACUGAGCACUUUUUUAAUUCUACACUGAAAAUCCCUUUGAAUCCUGUAUCAGUGUUCACUAGACAGAAUCUGUCUAUCUAUACAUUAGAUACAUAAAUAUGUAUUUAUGAGGAGAUUUAUUUUAAGGAAUUGGCUAAUGCAAAUGCGGUGCUGGUAAGUCCAAAAAUCACAGGGCAGGGCAGCAGUCUGAAAACUCAGGCAAGAGUUGAUGUUAUAGCCUUGAGUAUGAAAUGUGUAGGGCAAGUUAUCAGGCUAGAAACUUAGGCAGGAUGUCUAUGUUACAGUCUUGAGGGAGAACUCCUUCUCUUGGAAACUCAGUUUUUGCUCUUAAGGCCUUCAACUGAUUAGAUGAGACCCAUCCACAUGAUCAAGGGUAACCUCCUGUAGCUAAAGUCAACUGAUUAUAGAUGUUAAUCCCAUCUAUCAAAUACUUUUACGGUAACAUCUAAACUAGUGUUGGACUUAAGAACUGAGCACUCUAGCCCAGCCAGGUUGACUCAGAUGAUUUUGCCAUCACAAAUCCCAUAUUUUUACUAUAGUGGAAAGAGCAGAGUUGGCUGUAUUUUGCUUCAUUUCCCCAGUGUUGUAAUCUUUAUAAGGGAGUAAAGAUUCUGUUAGUGGUUCAAUGGUGGCAUUUUUACUGGCACUUUUUUUUUCUGUCAAAUUGUUCGAUAAUUUGUUUGAAAAGCUGGGCCAUGUUAGCACCUUAUCCCUGUCCCACAUGGUGCCAAAUGGUCUUGUCUUCUUUGCCUGCUAAGAAGAGUAGGUAUGGGAAAUGCAAAUUUUCAUUGAACAAGGUUAUUGACUACUCAAGUUCUGUAGUAAGGUUGCUCAGCUGACUGUGUGACAGUCACAGGGGAUAUAGGGAGUUAAUAUUUUCUGGAAAGAAUUUUAAUGUUAGAAUUUACUGUCUUUUGCACAUAUAAAUUUGAAGCCUUAAUGUUAUGCUCUUCUGGUUAUUUGCAUGUAAUAUGCAUGCAAAUUCACAAUAUAUACUAUAUGCCAAGAACAUAAAUUAUAAAUUGGUACUUUCCCUGGUUAUUAGCAAUUUUGGCUGCUUUAAAAAUUAAUACUUUGAAGAAAUAUAUGUUUUCAAAUUUGUUUGUAGUAUCUUUAGUUUCCAAAGGAAAAUAUGUAGUGCACUCUCAACCAGGAAGGUAGAUCUCUGCUGUAACAUUCUCUGGAUUUAAAAAGUUGUGCAUAAUGCUAAAGGUUAGAAUGUUUUUAUUUAUCUUUCCUGUGAGUGGGUUUCAAUUAGGUGUUGCAGAUGUUUGUUUCCAUUAACAAUGCUGAGAAAUACAUGUUUCUGUAGCAUGAUUGCAGCCUACUGCAGUCCAGUGUACUUGGGGGUGAGUCUUUUCAGUGAUAAACACACCUCCAGUAGCAGAGCAGCAUAUUGUACUUCCAGGUGGAAGAAGACCUGCCUGUGCUGCACAACUGAGGGCAGGAGACUCCCAGAGAGGGACUCUGUAGCCUCUCUGCCUGCCAUUGAGGCUUGUUGCCUUGGCAACUAAAACACAGCCAUCCAUCCUUUUCCCCAGGCAGGGAGCUCCAGUCAUCCUUGACUUUGCUAUGACCUUUUCUCCUCCCCUUUACAAUCUGUUUAGGGUUCUGCCAUGCAUCUCCCAGGCAGCUUUGAAUUUUCUCUCCCUUGGAAAUCUCCAGGCCACCUCCUGGUUUUGUCUUUCUCCUUUGGACCAAUGAAUGCUCAUCACCGGCAUCCCGGCUACUCAGCUUGCUUACUUCUUCCUGAGUCCAAAGCAAGGCCUCCCAGACCUUCCUGCCUACUAUGAAAGUCAGGUCAUCUUGCACUGUGAAACUCUAGAGUGCAGCAUUCUCUGCAGGGUGCAAACAUCCAUCCUCAACUUCAGUAGUCUGCUCUCACACACUAUUUGGAAUCAUUUUAAAAACUCUUCUGUGUGUGCUGUACAUCUUUCAUGACUUAGUCACCCUCCUCCACCUUACUAACCCUAUGGACUACUUUAUCCUCUAUGUUUCUAAGUUAUUUCAUCUUGCGCAAAAUCAGCCCUCUUUAAGUGGUCCAGAGCAAGGGCCCUCAGCUGACAAGUUUUAUUGGUGGCACCAUCACCACCACCAUGACGGUAAAUAUUAUCACUAACUUCUGUGCCAGCAUGUUAGCAUACUACAAGUAGCUACAGAAAAUGGGCCUGUGGACAUUGACUCAAAACUUAAGUUAGGGCCUCUAUGUUAUUGUGAAGCCUGGUCAAGGGCUCAAGUCGGGAUGAGAAUCCAUCUUGGUUCUGCUCUUCAUUUAUGUCCUUGGAGAUGGCUGGAUCUGCCAGGAUUAACAGGUGACUUCCACCCCUCCACCCCUGACUCCUGUUCCCUCCAAAAAAGUGACCUGUAGAUAGUCAAAUGGUGCUAAGGUAUAGACCUGAAGAGGCAUCAUUUUCUGAUUCACUUUUGGGCCAAGUAGGCAUUAUAUACUAAUUUGCAGCUGGGUGCUUUAUAGGCUUAUAGAGGCCUUCACUUACAGAAUAGAUAUAACAAUCAAAAAGAUUCAAAGUGAAGUUGUUUUUUGUUUUUUUUUUUUUUUUGAGACGAAGUUUCACUCUUGUUGCCCAGGCUGCGAUGGCACGAUCUCAGCUCACUGCACCUCCGACUCCCGGGUUCAAGUGAUUCUUCUGCCUCAGCCUCCCAGGUAACUGGGAUUACAGGCAUGUGCCACUACUCCCGGCUAAUUUUUGUAUUUUUUAGUAGAGAUGGGGUUUUGCUAUGUUGGUCAGGCUGGUCUCGAUCUCCUGACCUCUCAAGAGAUCUGCCCACCAUGGCCUCCCAAAGUGCUGGGUUUAUAGGUGUGAUUUUUUUUUUUUUUUUUUUUUCAGACAGAGUCUCGCUAUGUCGCCCAGGCUGGAGUGUCGUGGUGUGCUCUCAGCUCACUGCAACCUCCGCAUCCUGGGUCCAAACGAUUCUCCUGCCAUAGCCUCCUGAGUAGCUGGGAUUACAGGUUCCUGCCACCACACUCAGCUAAUUUUUGUAUUUUUCGGUAGAGACAGGGUUUUGCCAUGUCGGCCAGGCUGAUCUUGAACUCCUGACCUCAAGUGAUCUGCCUGCCUCGGCCUCCCAAAGUGCUGGGAUUACAGGCAAGAGCCAACAUGCCUGGCCUCAAAGUGAAGUCUUUUAUUACAAGGAGAAAGUACUAGGUAAGGAUAAUUUAAUUUUGUAACCAUUAUUGCAUCCUGGCAAGAUUUUCUGCAGUAGUUUCUUCUCCUUCCCUUCCCUCUUCAUCCCUGCUCCUCUUCUCCUCCUUCCCUCCCCCUCUUCCUUUUUCUUCCUCUUCUUCCUCGUCUUCUUCCUUUUUAGAUAAUAAUCAUAGUAGCUAAUAAGUGUAUAAAAUAUUCUGACUGGCUGAGAUGCAUUUUUCCUAGGCUUGAUUGUAUCAUUGGAAACUCUAACCACAGAGCUCCCAUGUGCUGUGGGUGGAGCAGCCUUCUAACUGUCAUAGAAACACGGAAGCCACAUGCUAGAUUUACAUAGAGCUUAGGGGCUCUGAGUGUAAGAACAAGAGCUUGACUCAUUUUUGGCAUUCAGACGUGCACUGAUCUCUCUCAUAGCUUAGGAUUCCCCAAAAAAGGUUGGAUUGAGGGAUGUGAUGAGGUCCCUGAACAAAAGCCAUGAGUGAAGAAGUCUGUUAACGUGGACCAGACCGACCUAUAGGAGUUUGGUUUUGUUUUGCUUUUGAGACGGAGUCUUGCGCUUGUCGCCCAGGCUGGAGUACAGUGGUGUGAUCUCAGCUCACUGCAACCUCUGCCUCCCACGUUCAAGCAAUUCUCCUGCCUCAGCCUCCCAAUUAGCUGGAAUUACAGGUGCCCACCACCGUGCCUGGCUGAUUUUUGUAUUUUUAGUAGAGACGGGGUUUCACCAUGUUGCCCAGGAUGGUCUCGAACUCCUGACCUUAGGUGAUCCACCCGCCUUGGCCUCCCAAAGUGCUGGGAUUACAGGAGUGAGGCCACCAUGCGCGCCCGAGCUCCUGGGUUUGAAAGUCCAAGGGGCAGUGGUUCUAGGUACCUCCCUUGACCUAAUGAGCCUCCCCUCAAUUCCCCCUACUGGCAACAGACUCCUGCUCACACAAAAAACAAGUAUACUAUGGCAUGAACGAUAGCUGUGUCAUAAAGCAGGGAUCAGUGAACUAUGGCCCUUGAGGAAAAUCCAGCCUGUGGCCUGCUGGAUUGUUUAUGCAUUUUUAAAGGGUCAUAAAAAGAAAAAAAAAAAAAAAGCAAAGAAGAAUAUGCUACAGAGACAGAUGUGGUCUUCAAAAGCUAAAAUAUUUACUAUCUGGCCCCUUAUUGGUAAAAUUUGCCAGCCCCUGCCAAGAACUGGUCAGUGAUACCUAAUGGUGUUACUUUGGCAGCCCUGUUUUGAAAAAGCAAGGCUCAAGAGUGGAAAUGGCUUCCCUGAUGGUGAGGCCUUGAGGUUCCUUCCCUUCCCUCUUCACCCCAUUCUUUGUGCUGCAGAAGAAGUUGUCUUCCGUGAGAACGUUGUCAGAGGUGUUGAUGGUGACUGGUGGAUGGCAGAGUGAUGAAGGCAUGUGGAGCAGAGGAAAAGUUCAAGAGAGUAGGAGAGGAGGGUUGUCAGGUAGCAGGCCAUAAGUCUGACUGUCAGGGAAUCCUGGAGGGAGUAACUGAGGAGGGGAUCCCAGGAAAAGCUCAGACUUGUUAGUCCAUGCUUGGAGCUCAGAGGAUUGGGACUUAGGCUGUUGCCUUAAAUACAACAUAUCUGUAGCGCUGGGAGGCCAAGGGACUUUUGGUUUGCACUUGUGUUCUAUAGUUUACAAAGUCUUUCUCAUUUUGUGAGAACCCUCUGAAGCAGGCAGUGUGUGUGUUACUUUUGACCUCAAUUCAUAGAGAAAAAAUGGAUUGAUGCUAUGUCAGGGAAAUGUCUUCUUCAAGGUCAUAGAGUUAUUAUAUGAUGAAGUUGGAAGUCCAGUCUAGAUACUCUGGCUCUAAAACCUGAGCACCAUUCUUGGAAUCAGUGAAUUAUCAAAGUGUGAACUCUGCACCUCUCACCCCCAACACAAAAGCCAUCUUACUAGAUAUUGUUUAUUUGUAAGUUCAUUAUAUUAACAUAUACAACACUAGAAAUGGUUAGAGUAGAUUCAGAAUUGGAUUCAUUUUAUGCCUCAGCUUAGCCCCUUCUCACACAGUAAGGCAUCUAUAGAACAAACUAACCAGGGUGUGAAGGUAAUUUGCGUUGCCCUGCAUUGUUUGUGUGUGUCUGGGAACUCUGGGUUGAGACAGAUUACUUGGAUGUUCUAGUUUUACUUUUAUAGACAACCUAUGAAAGGGGUAAUUAUGAGAAGUAAUUAUUGACACUAUGACAACCUGAAUAAAAAUUGAAGUUGUUUGUACUAUUUUCCCAUAGAUAUUAGAGCAAGACAUUACAAUAAAUGAAUUGAGUGGCCUGUUUUGUGUGUGUAUGAUUUGGAUAUCAGAGACCAUCAUUCCUACAUGAUAUGACACUUUAUUUGCCACCUUCACCCUUUGACAUUUUUGUCACAACUAAAUGUGCAGUAGAGCCAGCUGUGGUCUGCGUAGGCUCUAGCACUGUGUCUGGGUCUCACCCUGAGCAAUGCAUUUGGUUUCAGAGCCAGUGUCGCUGAUACAGGUUGCAGCCAGCACAGGGAAAUCCAUCACAGUAACAGCAAUGUAGCCAUCACAGGGAGUCUAACCACAUCCAUAUUCAGAUAAGGAGAACACUGAGUACUGUCACUGAAAAUGAUAUGCAGGGACUCUGGGAUAGUGCUGCCUUUACACUGUUCAUAAAAUAUGGUAAAAAUAAAGCCUUAAAACUCAUGCUUGUGAAGAGUGGAGACAGGAAAAUUAGAGUAGCAAUUCACACAGCACACUUUUCCUUGGAGUGAGAAGUCAUAUCAAUUUCUCAAAAACGGGUAUUUCACCUCUUACAGCAUCCAUAAGAAGGCUAGGUCAGCCACGAGUUAGUGGCUUAUGAACUCACUUGGACCUUUGCUUAGCUGGCAAAUGUCAUUUCUUAGCCUUCCAUCCACCCAAAUCUGGGGUUUCUGUUUCCCCAGCUCUGCCCUCUGUGUUCUCUAUCUCAUCAUCUUAUUUUAUUUUCUUCACAGCACUUUCUACUGUUUGCAGUUAUCUAAUUUAUUAAUUGGCUGCUUAAUCUCUAUCUGUCAGCUUUGAGUUGUAAGCUGCGUGGUUGCAGAAGCUGACCGUGGCUCUCUGGUUCACUGUUGUUUUCUGUAGCCCAAAGAACAGUGUCUGGGCUGUGGUAGGUGCUCAAUAUGAAUAAAAAAGAUGAAUCAAUGAAUGAAUUGGUGAGUAAAUACAUGCUUUCCUGUUGCUUAACCCUACAGAAUAGUCCCAGUACUGGGUUAUGAUCUUUCCCUAGUGGAAGAAUCCAGAGAUUCUAUUGUUGCCCUAAUAAAUUACCACAAACCCAGUGGCUUAAACAACACAGAUUUAUAGUCUUAACAGUUCUGCAGGUCGGAAGUCCAACACAGUUCUCACUGGGCUCAAAUCAAAGUGUCAGCAUGGCUGGAGACUUUGGGGGAGAUCCAUGCUCUUGCCUUUUCCAUUUUCUACAGGUUACACACAUUCGUUGGUUGUGAUCCCUUUCUGUCUUCAAAGCCAGCAAUGGUGGGUCGAGACCUUCUCAUGCUGCCAUCUGUCUGGUUCUCUACAGCCGAAAAAGGUUCUUCGUUUUUAAGGACUGAUGUGAUUAGAUUGAGUGUACUUGGAAAAUACAGGAUAAUCUCCCAUCUCCAGGCCAUUAAUCAUAAUCACAUCUGCAAAAUCUAUUUUGCCAUAUAAGGUAACAUAUUCAUGGGUUCCAGGAAAUAGACCCUGGACAUCUUUUGGGGUUUGGUGGUAGUCAUCAUUCUGCCUGUCACAUGGAUUUAUUCACAAAGGGGGUAUAGGGAUAGUCAAGCCCAAAGCCUCAUUUCUCUUCCAGAAUGUAUAUUGCAAAACAGAGAGUCUUCCCAAGUCAUUUAUUCAUUCCACAAGAAAUAUUUGUGGAACUUGUCACAUUCUUCUUGAUAAUUUGGUUCCUGAUGGCAGAGUGAGCCUAGAUUGCUGUUUUGCAGGGUUGGAUAUGGAGACCUUGGGGAAGUUCACCUGAAUUCCUAACCAAGCCUGACAAUCAGAAAUUGGGCUUCUAACCAGAAAGGAUCAGUGUGUCUAAAAGGGACUCAAAGCAGUUGUAGUGGUAGCAAUGGUGGUGUCAGAUACAGUAGUUUAUUUAUUUUAUUCAAUCUUUAUAAUAAUCCUACAAUAGAAGCACUAUUAUUAUCCCCAUUUUACAGAUGAUGACACUAAGGCACACAAAGGUUAAAUAAAUUGCCUAAGUGACUGAGCCAGGAGUGACUGGCUAAUGAGUGAAUGAGACAGGAUUUAAAAUCUCAGGCAAUCUAGCUCUUGACUGUGUUCCCUAACCACUGCACUUCCCUGCCCCUUACAAGGUCCAUUAGAGAGUGGCCAAAGAAGCCUCUGAGAGGGCCAGAAUGGGUGCUGAGACCAUCUAUUGGCCUCCUUGGUUUUGUGAAGUAGAGAGAACAUGGAAUGGUAAGAAGCUUCUGCUUCCUUGGUUACCAGAUCUGGGCCUGGAUCAAGCCACUUCAAUUCAUUGAGCCUCUGUGAAGAGAAAAUAGAAAUUUUGCUUGUCUGCAUCUCUAGUGUGGGAGAAGGAUAAAACGAUUAUUGAGACGUGCUCUGUAAACGUUGCCCGUUACUAUCCACAUGUCUAAAUGAUGAGGCGAGAAAGGAAAGUGAGUACGAUCACCUCAGUGCCCCAAGACUCUAUCUGGCUUUUGUCACCCUGGGGUAAACUGGAGAGCGUGACUGAGACAUGAAAUCUUCCCAUAUCCUCUGUGAGAGAGGGUGAUUGAUGACAGGGAUUUACAGGUUGGCCUGUGACAGCAUGUAAUCAAUCAGGGCAUGGGAAGGAUAGCUUGUCUUUGGUGUACAGAUGAGGAUUCUAAUAACCCAACAGUGGCCACCAGAAGGAAAAGCCUCCUGCGCUUGUCUUCACUUCCUUCAUUUCAGUAGCUGCAGAGUCGUCAGGCAGUCCCAAGAAUUUCGUGUAUGAAGAUGGUAUUCCUUAGUUUUGCCCUAACUGCGUGAGCACAAGUGACAGCUGUGAGUUCUGGGCUUCAGAGGGAGGAGUAAAAAUUUACCUUGGAGUUAGCCAACAUCUGCAAACACUUAUUUAAUCAAUCAUACAGAGCUGUCAAGAGCAGUGAGGGGUCUGAGAUUUUAACCUGCCUGUGAGGUAACAAGUUAGCCUGCCUGAUUCAUACAUGCUGGCAGAAGACACGAAACUCCUGGAUCAGACAUAAAGGAUGUUACUGCUCAAUGCACAGCAGGCAGCAUGGGCUACAAGCUCUCAUCUUGUAGAGCUUGAGGGGAACCUCCCUUGAGGGCAAUGCAGCGGGGGCCAGGUGGUUACUUCAUACCUGUUGGAUCUGUGUCACAACUGAGGAACACAGAGUUUAGGAAAUAACCAGUCUUAUAAACUGUUUCUGGCACACUUGCCCAACCUUUGCCCUGGAGGAAGGCAUUAUCUUUGACUCUUGCCAGGAAACAAAAUUAUCCUCUGUCCUGGAGGAGGAAGACAUAAUCUUUAUCGUCCCAGGCUGUUUGCUUUACAGACAUCCUUGAAUAGUAGUCUGAGACAAAAGGUACUACAGGGUAGAGAAUUGUCUCCCAAUAGAAACUAGUGCAUAAUUAGCUAAAAUAAUGACCAUAAAAGGUGUUUUUUAAAUAUGUAAAAUUUUACAAGUGAAUUUAUAUAAUCUGAAUUCUGAGAAGGAGAAUUAUUUUCUAAUUCUUUUCACUUACUGAGUUCUACUAAAUAAUUUGGAAUAGGGAUUCAACCAAACUUGUUGCUUAAAUACUCAAUUUCCAUGGAGUUCAGAACUUCCAAUGAAUUGGUGAUUAAUUGGUAUUGUAAUGAAAGAUUGUUUACAUAGGAUGUGCAAAGGGCAUAUGAUUGAUUGUCUCUUUAAUCACCUUUAGUUACAGUAGUAAAUGAAAGUAUACAUUUUGUACUUUGACAAUGGAUGAUGCCAAUUGAACCUUAUUAAAGACUUCUGUGGCCGAGCGCAGUGGCUCAUGCCUGUAAUCCCAGCACUUUGAUAGGCUCUGGUGGCAGGAUCAGUUGAGGCCAAGAAUUCUAGGCUGUGCUGGGCAAUAUAGUGAGAACUUACCUCUCUUAAAAAAAAAAAUUAACUGGACAUCGCGGCAUGCAUCUGUAGUUCUAGCUACUCAGAAGGAGUUUGAGAUGGGAGGAUCACUUGAGCCUCAGGUAUUAGAGACUGCCGUGAGCGAUGAUUAUGCCACUGUGCUAGUCUAGCCUGGGCACAGAGUGAAACCCUUCUCUAAAGAUAUAAAUAAAUAAAUAUUUUGGCUAAGAAAAACACACACUUUUCUUUGAUUUCCAUCAUGAUUUUUUAGCCAAAUUCUUAAUGGGAAACCUAUUAUUUGAUACAUGUUUCUUUAUAUUUGAUUUUUAAAUUAAUUAAUUUCCAAAAUAUGUUAUCUUUAGUUAUGGUUAAUAUUACAGACCUAUCACUGCCUACCCAGUGUGUGGUCAGUGACAAAUUGAACCCAAAUAACUCGUAUAAUCUAUGAGAUAACCAAACACCAGAUAUGUUUUUUAGGCUUAAACUUGGUAUAAGACCUGAAAGGUACUGUAAAUGUUGGAAGAGCAAGGAUCCAUGUUCUGCCUGGGGUGGUGUAGUACUGUGAAUAUGGCUUUAAAGGCAGCUGGAUCUGGACUGAACUCCAACUCUGCCAAUUCCUAAUUCUGCAAUUUAACUAAAAUAUAUGAGCCUCAGUUUUCUUAUCUGUAAAUUGUGUAUAAUGAUUACUACAUAAUAGGAUAGUUAUGCAGUCCGCAUGAAAUAAGUUAUUUGAAGCUGCUACCUUCCUUUAAAAAUGUAAAGAGAAUAUUGAAGUCAGUGCAGGACCACUAUAAAGUUUAUUUGAUUACUUUCAGCUUGGGUGAAGCUUUAAAUUGUUAGUUAAAUUCCUUCGCUAAAGCAUUCACUUAUUGUCUAUUAUUUUUCUAGUUAUCUAGAUGCAUUGGGGAAUUAAAGUCAUCAUUUAAAAAUCAUCCCAUGGAUAUCAAAAGCUCAUAAAUUGUUAGAUGCUAAUGGGAAAGUCAAGAAUCUGCUUCAACUUAUAAUUGUAGGCAUACACAGAGCUAUCUAGGGAAAUGCAGGGGUUGCCUUAAAUUCCCAGAAUAAAAUACUUUGCAGAUUUCAAAAUAUGUCACUCACUAUAAAAUUAAUUAUUUACCAGCCACUCACAUACUAAUCAGGGUUGAAAGUAUGAAAGACCACAGGAAAGAAUGGAUGGUUACCUUUCUAUCACAAGUGCUGGUACUAAGAAAUAAUGAUAACUCACAUGUGUGUGUGAUGCCCUCAGUUUUAUGGGAAAUUGGGAACUGAAUAUUUUAAAACUAAUUACAAUUAAUUAAGAUGACUAAAAGAGCAAUGGCAGUUUGGGAUUCUAUUUUUACCAAAUUAAUCUCUCCAGUGAAAAGUAGGAGAGAGAUUUUAGACUUGACAAACAACUUAAAAGCUUUGCAAUAGGAAUGGAAUGAGAAAGCACAAUGAGCAGAAAAAUAUUUAGUGAAAUUAUGUACUCCUUAAAAUAAGCAGCUACUGUAUUUUGCAUAUAAAGGUAGACAUGACUGAAGAGGUAGGGAGAUGAGGAGAGGAAAGUUAAUGUGUUUCAGCAUUAACACAUGAUGGAAGAUAAAUGCCUUCUCUUGGUAUGUAAUCUUGAUUUGCUGCUACUAUGUAGAAAAUAGCACUAUAUCACAGUGCCAGCUUAUAUUGAUAUAUAUUUAUGUAUAUAUGGAUAUUUAUAUGUAUGUGCAUGUAUAUAUAUGUGUGUGUGUAUAUAUAUAUAUAUAUAUAUACACACACACACACAUACAUACAUAUACACACAUACAUCCAGGAUGUCUUCGGAUUAUAUAUAAAAUGUUAAGGGCUUUACUUAGUGGAGAUUGGGUUAAAUAUUUACUUCUUGCUAAGUAUUACCAUAUGCCUAAACUUUUAAAAUAGUAGCUAUUCCAAAGGAAGAAAUCAAACUAAACAAUUGGGAAGAUAUAUCAAAUCUAGUUUCAGUUGGUGGUUCAUAGAGAUAACUCGAUAACACUGAUGUUACUUCCCUGUUGUCCAGCUCAUACUAAAUAGGCAUCUGUCAUGAAUGGCCAGGGUGCUGUGCUGGAUCUGUCAUGACUAAACUGAUCACGAUCAUUAGCCUGUCUUCUUAGUUCAUUCACAGCCAGGAGGUAGACGGUGGGGGAACACAAACACUAUGUACCUACCCUCGGUCCUUGGCAUCCAAUGUAAGAGGUGAAGUUUCUGAAUCUAACCCCUGCCCUCAAGAACCUUAUAAUACGGUAGGGGAGCUUGCACAUUUGUGCGACAGGACAGUUGUAAACAUGUAAAUCAAUAACAAUUUUUCUUUAUAAAUAAAAAAUGUUUUGAGUUAAUUUUUACAAGUAAUAUUUUUUCCUACAUAAUUGUAAUUGUUUUACUUUGAAAGACAGUGAAAUGACUGUUUCUUCCUCUUAGUUUUCUACUUGUAUUUUUCCUUACAUUGGACUGUAUGAUCAUGGACACAAAUAUUAAUAUUUCAUGCCUUUCAGUACAAACAUAGCUGUAGUAUAAAUGAGGAAAGAGAAUAUCAGCUUAAGUGAAGGAAGUUCAAAUUCUGAGCUCUAUUAGGCAGGAAAAUUGAUAUUCCAAUAAAUAGAGUAGUUGAGGCUAUAGCACGUUGUCUGCACAAAGCUGUAGGGUCAGCAUUUUUUAGACAGUAUCAUGGAUGAGUAGUUAAUUAAGUAAAGGAAUCCAAUCCCAGUGGGAUCUUGAGGGAAAUGGAGUCUAUACUUUCCUCUCCUUGAACACUGGGGCAAAUUGGUCUUUGAUUCUGUUGAAGCCAUCUCUUGGGUGCUUCUGCCCUAAGUUCUGCUUCUGUUACUUUGAAAAUCCUUUUUGUUGAAAUGACCUUAGUGUCAGUGACACCUAUCAGCUAAAUUUAAUUGCUUUUCUAAAAAUACUGUCCUUUUUUCCCAAUAAUUACUUCAACUCACAGUUAGUUAAAGCAUAACAUGUUGGAAACUUUCUUGUUUAAACUCUUCCUAUUCUUCACCUUAUUGGUUAAUUUAUUUAUUACCAAUGACCAACUCAGUGUGGGUAGCAUUUUUCUCAGCUUCCAGCUCCCAGCUUUCUUUCUUGAUAUGGCUGAAUUUUGAGAUACUCAAAGCAAGCAGACCAUAAAGAGAGACAGAUAAAACUGGACCUGGGUGUUCAUAUGUGUAUGUGUGAUUGUGUGUUGGAGGGUUAUUAUCCCUUUUUAAAGAACUACUUAUAGGAUGGUGGCAGGAUCUCUGAAAUUGCAGGCUGAAUUGAUUAUUAGCAUAUGUAAAUUUGGGUAAGUUAUUAAGCAACUUUCAAAGUGUUUUUGUUUUCUCUUCUGUAAAAUUAGGAUGAUAAUAAUAUCUAAUGAUCUUGUUGUAGAUUAAAUGAUGAAAAGCACCUUACAAAGUGUUACGUAGUAAGUAGUCAGUAAAUGUUAACAUGACUAUUAUCAUCAUGUUGUUUCUAUCUUGAUUAUUUGUAUUUUAUAGCUUUGUCAAACUGAAAACUUCCUUUUAUUUUGAAAUAUCUUGAUAGACGCAUGAGACGUCUUUUAAAAAAAUUUAAAAAAUGGCCCAGCUUGGUGGCUCAUGCCUGUAAUCCCAGCACUUUGGGAGGCUGAGGCAGUUGGAUCACGAGGUCAGGAGACGCAAACCAUCCUGGCUAACACGGUGAAACCCCAUCUCUACUAAAAAACACAAAAAAUUAGCCGGACAUGGUGGCGGGUGCCUGUAGUCCCAGCUACUCGGGAGGCUGAAGGAGAAUGGUGUCAACCCGGGAGGCAGAGCUUGCAGUUAGCCAAGAUGGCGCUACUGCACUCCAGCCUGGGCGACAGAGUGAGACUCCGUCUCAAAAAAAAAAAAAAAAAAAUUUUUUUAAAUUAAUGUUACUCUGUUACUUUUGUGUCUCUGAUUUCAGUUGUAUUGAUUUAAAUCACACAAUUCCUUAUAGAGACUCAAGGGCCUUGGGGGCAGGAUCAUACCUUACUCUUGUAUGUAUCUCAAGAUAGGGAUAGCACUGUUUCAGAUUAGGUUCUUAACAAAUGUGGACAAAACUCUGGGGCAUGGAAUUGAGAGGCCUGAAUUUGGUUCUUGUUUCUUACCUGCUUUGGGCUUUCUUGGGUCACCUCUCUGAACCCAGGAUUUUGAGGUCCUAAAGCCAGGUUUGGAAACCAAAAGGCCUGAUGUUUGGGUUCUAGCUUUGCUGAGGGCUGUUCCAAGUUAUGUGGGGUUUCCUGAUCAGAUAUACCUUGAUGCCCCUCCAAAUCUAUAUUACUUAAAUAUUUGAUGUAUAUUUAUUUAAUGGAGGCAUGGGGGGAAACAAUUUUUAGUUAAUAAAAAUGUAGUAUAGUAAUAGAUGCACUAAAUCAUUUGCUUUCUCUUUCCAAGGCAGGAUCAAUGUUCUGGAGGAAAAAUAGUGAAGGAUUGUUCUAUGUUUUACUUAAGGUUGAUUUUGCUGUAGGUUACGUGUGUGUAUGUAUGUGUGCGUACGUGUGUGUGUACGUGUGUGUGUGUGCGCGCGUGUGUGUGUGCAUGUGUGUGUGUUCUAAAACAAGUAAUUGGGAGGCAUAUUAAAUAAUUUAAAUCUUAACAAUUAAAAUAUCUCACUUUCUUCAGUCAGUGAGCACCAGCCAUGCUUAUUUGAUUUUACAGUUUUAAUACACAGUAUUAGUGAGUUAUUCAGAGAUAGACAGGUGAUGCUGGGUAGGUAUUCUUUGUGUAGGUGGGUGGAGGUGGAGGGGACACAGUCCUUUCCUAUUGAGAAUGAGAGUUAUAAAGGAUUAUAUAACAAAAUUUGAGUUGAUUGGUGCAUAUUACUCAAGUAACUACUUUAGCGCUGUAAAAUACAUUGGCCUAUUGUUGUGAGCCUGCUCCUUAUAGGUUUCUGUGUAACGAGCAUCUAGAAGAACCUGGUGAGUUGUAGGCAUGCAGAAAAUAGCAUAUUUUCUCAUGUCUGAUACACCAUGGAUUGCUGGAUGCAGUAACAGCAUUUUAGAAGAUAAAAAAGAACAGAGCCACAUUUAAUGUAGAUACUAUUUUAAGAUGUAUCUUGUUUUCAAAAAUGUUCAAAUGUGAAAAAAGCAUGCAUCCUGGAAUUGAGGAGCAGUGGAAUUAGAGAUGAUAAUGAGCACCCUGAAAUUUAAUUUUUUCCUUAGAAAGAUUACAUUUUUCAAUAGGCAUAAACUUAUUACAUGGUUUCAACUACUCAAAGAUUAAAAACAGAUGCCCUUGUUAGGGAGUAUAUAAUCUACUUUUACCAUAAUAAUUUAGGGAAAAUAUUGUAAGACUAAUUUUGUAAGUUGGCCAGAAUAUGUAUUUCUUAUAUAAUAAUAUCAAGAAGAACAAUAGGUAAAUAUUUUUAUUUUUAGUUUUGAGACAGAGUCUUGCUCUGUUGCCCAGGCUGGAGUGCAGUGACGCGAUCUCAGCUCAUUGCAACAUCUGCCUCCUGGGUUCAAGUGAUUCUCACGCCUCAGCCUUCUGAGGAGUUGGGACUACAGGCACACACCACCAUGCCUGGCUAAUGUUCAUAUUUUUAGUAGAGACAGCGUUUUGCCAUGUUGGCCAGGAUAAUCUCGAACUCCUGGCCUCAAGUGAUCCACCAGCCUCGGCCUCCCAAACUGCUGGAUUACAGGCAUGAGCCACUGUGCCCGGCCAAGAUUUUUAUUUAUUGUUAAAAUAGCAUUGAAAAAAAUUCUAAGUGAAUCACAUAUAUGAAGUAUGUGUUUUUUAAAACAUAAAAACCAUGUUGGCUUAGAGUCAUGAAUGCUGGUGGUCUCUUCAGUGACACCAAAAAUGCAUUAUGGGAGGGCAUAAUUGUCAACUCCAAUAAUUAAGUGCCUGCUCCUAACAGAGGCUAUCUGCAUCAGUGCCUUUUAUUUCAAUCCAGGUCUAUUGAUAAAUAGGAAUUGAAUCAGGUACUGGUGAUCUUAGACCGUCAAUGUAUCUUCAGGGCAAAACUUCUUAAGAAAAUACUAGGUUCUUAAGAGUUUUGUACAAUAAACAGUUUGUUCUCAUUAAUCAAUUUUACCUAAUUUCCCAAUAUUUUCUCUUAGUGAAAAGGUUUGUAUAUGUCACAGUUUUUAUUUUUUAUUUUUGAGGUGGAUUCUCACUCUGCUGCCCAGGUUGGAGUGCAGUGGCGCCAUCUCAGCUCACUGCAACCUCCGCCUCCCGGGUUCAAGCAAUUCUCCUGCCUCAGCCUCCUGAGUAGCUGGGAUUACAGGUGCCCACCAUGGCCAGCUAAUUUUUUGUGUUUUUAGUAGAGACAGGGUUUUGCCCUGUUGGCCAGGCUUGUCUCGAACUCCUGACCUCAGGUAAUCUGCCCACCUUGGCUUCCCAAAGUUCUGAGAUUACAGAUGUGAGUCACCACGCCCGGCCUGUAUAUGUCACAUUUGCUUUCUGGUGAAAGUACUAAUGUUCAUGCCAAUUCUGUGCUGUCAUUCCCAAAAUUGUAUUAAUAUUCCUAGAAGAAAGGAAAACAAAAACAAAAUAUUUAGAUUUGUAGGAAGUUUUAAUCUGAGCCAGAAGUCUCAAAAAUUAAUCAUGUAAUGCCAUCCAUCAAAAGUGGUUUUAAAAUCCAAUAUUUAGAUAUAUUACACAUGCAUAGCAUCCUUUAUCAUCAGUUAUUUCAUCACAGUCUAAAGUUAGAUGAAUCUGUGCACUGCCCCCCACCACUCAAACACAUGCAUUAACACACACAAUUUAUAUAAACAGAUUGUGAAACGGCCUUGGAGAAUAAAAUACGUAACCAUAAAUAAAUGAAGACCCUGCAAUGCUGCUGGGAGACACAUGGAUAUUUUAAAAAUCUAGCUAUUUGGUUCUGUUGCCUUUUACUAUGCACUGCACAGAUUUAAACUUUUUGGUUUGCUGGCAAGAAAGUUUACUAGGUUAGGAAUCAGUUUCUUAAAUUACAGUCUUUGCUAGAGCUCAGUGCAGUUAAGGAAACUUUCUCUGAAUUAGGGGGUCAAAUAUUACAGUUUUUGGAAAAAAAAACCCUAGACACUUAUGAUGAUAGUGCAAGUUAAUUCUAUUUCCUUGUGUGAGGUUUCACUAUGAGGACACAAUGUACCACUUUGGCUGAGAUGCUGUUUUCAAUAAAUAUGGAAAUUAUGGCUUCCAGUGCUGUGGCCUGGUAUGAAAUCUCAUGGGAAAUAGCUUGAUACUGUGUGAUAGAUUUGAAAUUAAUUCCUAUCCCUUCCUGAAGUAACCAACCUAUAUUUACAAGAUGUGUCAUUAUUUCUUGGCCAUCCAGAAAGAUGGGUAAAUACAGUCCUAUUUUAUAGAAUGAGGCUGCAGCAAUAAAGAUUUUCUAGUCCAUAUCCUCUUAGAGGACGAGUUGAACAAAGCAGGCUCUGCUUUUAUUUGUUGAACAAAGUGGGUUGUACUUUUGUAAGUUAGAGGUGCUCUCGGACCCUUUUCCCUUCUAUUGCUUUGGCUUUUUCUAAUGACUCCCAGCAGAAAAUUAUAAUGGGAGUCUUUCCUAUUGCCGGAUGAGGAUGGUUUUGUAAUGAUGGAUUUCAAAUUAAACCCAUAUUCUCAACUUUGUGAAAUCCUGGCAGGGUGAAGGUGAAAUGUGUCUGUCAUUUUCAAAUUAUUUGUUAGGGAACAAUUAGAGACUUAUACUGUAAAAUUUUGGGACAGCUGUUUUUAAUAGUGGGGGAGGCAUGGGCAAUGAAAAGGUAGUUUGAAAAUCUCAGUGGAUAAAGCAGAGAUAAUCAGAAUUUGUUAGAGUGCUAUUCUUUAAGUCUUGAAUUCUAUCUGGCAACUAGAUUGUCCUGAGAUCAGAACAAUCUAAUCCAUACAUGUUCUAACUUUGCCUUCUGCUGUAUCAGUAUCUGCAACUAGGAAGGACAGAGAGGAGACCUGGCCUCCCCUGGGUGUUUAGGAGCUACAGAUCUUCAGGGAACAAAGGCUGUGGACAUGCCAUUGAUUUGGGACCGGUGUUUUUGAGUAUCCUUAAUUUUUUGUAUCAUCUGUGGCAGAUAGGCUGCUCUCCUUAAGUCAUGGCUUACCAGUUGAAACAAGACAUGAGAUUAACCCACUUUUUUCAUUUCUAACCAAAGAGAAGGAAACUUUGUAAAGUCUUAAUAGAUUAAUAAAAACAAAAGCUUCUGUGGAACAUUUUGAGGCUUGGUAAGUUGAUUCUGACUAAAUCUAAGCUAUGAGUGUUGUGUCAGAGUUGGAAUUCCAUAAAAGGUAGGGAGCUCUGGGCUGAACAUGCUGGGCUUUUCACAGCAGCACUCCCAGUCAGAACCAUUUGAAAGGUACAGUUUUCUCUAUAAAAUUAGGUCCACAUAGAAUGUGGUUCUACUCCAUUUGUCUCAUUGUGUACGAAGUCCACUUAUCCUUAACUUUCAUCUCACCAAUCCUGAUUUCUCAUUUUACAGAAAAGAACCCAAAGCCCAAAGAGUUGUAACUUGAUUGAAAUCUCAAGUUUGAGAAGUUGGAGUAUAUCUAUACACACACCCUCUAUGCUACAUUGAGGCUCACAAGGAAGCCAUCCCCAAAAGAGAGCAAUUUAAGUAAGGGGAGAUUUGAGAAGAUUGAGAACUGUUAAAUGUGGGAGGAGGAACUAACAAUUUGCAAAACCAGAAACCAAAGCAAAAGUGAAUCGUACAAAUGACAUCAAAAAGGGAUAAGGCAGAUAUAUUUAAGUGAGCCAGUUUUAAAGAAGCGAAGCCUCUGGUAUGUCAGAACCAUGCUGUCUUCCAUGGGACUUCCUUUGUGAAGAGCAUCCAUUUAAAAGACUUUUAUGAAUACAUGGUUUCAAUCAAGUCCCCAGAGAACACAUUUGUCUUCUGAGCUGCUGGCAGUUUUGAG